UGCCUCUGGGGGUGACUUAUUUAUAGUUCUCCCACCAGGGAAUCCAGGAGGCGGGUGCAGUGCGGGUGCAGUGUGGCUGUCGUCGCUGGCUGGCUUCAGGGAGAAGAUAGGGCUGUGACAUCAAGAGCCUGGCAGAGGCAGAGCGGGAAGCAGGGAAGGAGUCGGCCUUUCCUGCCAGCUGAGCUGUGCCUGAGACUCCUGGGCAGCGGAGGAACAAAGCUGGGAUCCAGCAAUAUCUUGCUGUGGCUGCUUCUGGCUCCUCCCUUGGCUGGAGGAGCUCAGGUGCACAGGUUGUGGCCUUCAGGUGGGUAGGCCUGUACCCCUGCCCUCACCAGACCCCAACACAGGAGCAGCCUGGAGCACACUGCAGAGGUGCCAAGGAAGUGAGAUUCCAGCAACUGGCUGUUCAACCCCAGCUGAAACUUUCCCCUGGUCAGGCUCCAC
ensembl:lncRNA